UACGAAGGGGGCGAGCGUUGCUCGGAAUUACUGGGCGUAAAGCGCACGUAGGCGGCUUUCUAAGUCGGGGGUGAAAUCCUGGAGCUCAACUCCAGAACUGCCUUCGAUACUGGAAAGCUCGAGUCCGGGAGAGGUGAGUGGAACUGCGAGUGUAGAGGUGAAAUUCGUAGAUAUUCGCAAGAACACCAGUGGCGAAGGCGGCUCACUGGCCCGGUACUGACGCUGAGGUGCGAAAGCGUGGGGAGCAAACAGG
rnacentral:rRNA from 1 species